rnacentral:rRNA from 1 species
AGGGCAUACGGUGGAUGCCUUGGCACUAAGAGCCGAUGAAGGACGCGGUAAGCUGCGAAAAGCCACGGGGAACUGCAAGCAAGUCUUGAUCCGUGGAUGUCCGAAUGGGGAAACCCACCAUCCGUCAUGGGAUGGUAUCCUACGGGAGGGGAACCCGGUGAACUGAAACAUCUAAGUAGCCGGAGGAAGAGAAAUCAAACGAGAUGCCCACAGUAGCGGCGAGCGAAGAGGGCAGAGCCUAAACCAGUCAUCUUCGGAUGGUUGGGGUUACGGACCUGCAUCAACCGAGUCCUACCUAGUCGAAUUACCUGGAAAGGUAAGCCAGAGAGCGUAAGAGCCGCGUAGGUGAAAGGAAGGACGAGGGGGCAGGGAUCCAGAGUACCACGAAGCACGAGGAAUUUUGUGGGAAGUCGGGGGGACCACCCUCCAAGGCUAAACACUUCUUAGUGACCGAUAGCGCAUAGUACCGUGAGGGAAAGGUGAAAAGAACCGCGGGAGCGGAGUGAAAGAGAACCUGAAACCGUAUGUCUACAAGCAGUCGGAGCGCAAGCGACGGCGUGCCUAUUGAAGAAUGAGCCAACGAGUUACGGGCACCAGCGAGGUUAAGCAGGAAAUGCGGAGCCGGAGCGAAAGCGAGUCUAAACAGGGCGAAUAGUUGGUGUUCGUAGACCCGAAACUGUAGUGAUCUACCCAUGAUCAGGUUGAAGCGCAGGUAAAAAUGCGUGGAGGACCGAACCGGUGAGCGUUGAAAAGCUUUCGGAUGAAUCGUGGGUAGCGGUGAAAUUCCAAUCGAACGCAGAGAUAGCUGGUUCUCCUCGAAAUAGCUUUAGGGCUAGCCUCAAGCAGUAAGCAUAGGCGGUAGAGCACUGAUCGGGAUAGGGUCCGUAAAGGAUACCGAACCCUGUCAAACUACGAAUGGUUAUGCUGCAGAGCUUGGGAGUCAGACUACGAGAGAUAAGUCCCGUUGUCAAAAGGGAAACAGCCCAGACCGUCAGCUAAGGUCCCCAAUGCCAUACUAAGUGGAAAAGGAUGUGGGGUCUCAUAAACAACCAGGAUGUUGGCUCAGAAGCAGCCACCAUUUAAAGAGUGCGUAAUAGCUCACUGGUCGAGAGGCCCUGCGCCGAAGAUUCCCGGGGCUAAAGUAUGGAACCGAAGCUACGGAUGCGGUACUUGUACCGCGUGGUAGAGGAGCGUUCCCAUUGGGUUGAAGUCGUCCUGGAAGGGACGGUGGACUGGUGGGAAGUGAGAAUGUUGGCAUGAGUAGCGAAAAGAUAGGUGAGAAUCCUAUCCACCGAAAGCAUAAGGAUUCCUGAGCAACGAUCGUCGUCUCAGGGUAAGUCGGGACCUAAUCCGAGGCAUGGAGCGUAGGAGAUGGACAACUGGUUGAUAUUCCAGUACCGGCAGCAAUCGUUUGAACGAUGGAGUGACGCAGGAAGGCAGGUCCGCGCGAGAAUGGUAGAUCGCGUACAAGCGUGCAGGCUGGUGCACAGGCAAAUCCGUGUACUGAGGCUGAGGCGUGAUGUGGAGGGAACUUGUUCCCGAAGGGAUUGAGCCUACGCUGCCGAGAAAAGCUUCUAGUGAGAAAGCUGCCGCCCGUACCGUAAACCGACACAGGUAUGCGGGGAGAGAAUCCUAAGGUGCGCGGGAGAACCCUCGUUAAGGAACUCGGCAAAAUGUACCCGUAACUUCGGGAUAAGGGUAGCCACAGUGGUGAAGGGACUUGCUCCUGGAGCCUAGUGUGGUCGCAGAGAAGAGGCCCAAGCGACUGUUAACCAGAAACACAGGUGCCUGCGAAAGAGAAAUCUGAUGUAUAGGUGCUGACACCUGCCCAGUGCUGGAAGGUUAAAGAAGGAUGUCCGGGUUCGACCCAAAGCAUUUGACUGAAGCCCCAGUGAACGGCGGCCGUAACUAUAACGGUCCUAAGGUAGCGAAAUUCCUUGUCGGGUAAGUUCCGACCCGCACGAAAGGUGUAACGAUUUGGGCACUGUCUCAACGAGGGACCCGGUGAAAUUGAAAUACCUGUGAAGAUGCAGGUUACCCGCGACUGGACAGAAAGACCCCAUGGAGCUUUACUGUAACCUAAUAUUGGGUUCUGAUAUUCGACGCACAGGAUAGGUGGGAGGCUUGGAGCAUGGUCCUCUGGGAUCAUGGGAGCCGCCGUUGGGAUACCACCCUUCGAAUAUCGGGAUUCUAACCGCAGGAGCAACGAUCCUCGGGACAGUGUUAGGCGGGCAGUUUGACUGGGGCGGUCGCCUCCUAAA